GAUGAACGCUGACAGAAUGCUUAACACAUGCAAGUCAACUUGAACUUCGGUUUGGGUGGCGGACGGGUGAGUAACGCGUAAAGAACUUGCCUCACAGAUAGGGACAACAUUUGGAAACGAAUGCUAAUACCUGAUAUUAUGAUUAUAUGGCAUCGUAUAAUUAUGAAAGCUAUAUGCGCUGUGAGAGAGCUUUGCGUCCCAUUAGCUAGUUGGAGAGGUAACGGCUCACCAAGGCGAUGAUGGGUAGCCGGCCUGAGAGGGUGAUCGGCCACAAGGGGACUGAGACACGGCCCGUACUCCUACGGGAGGCAGCAGGGGGGAAUAUUGGACAAUGGACCAAGAGUCUGAUCCAGCAAUUCUGUGUGCACGAUGAAGUUUUUCGGAAUGUAAAGUGCUUUCAGUUGGGAAGAAAAAAAUGACGGUACCAACAGAAGAAGUGACGGCUAAAUACGUG
rnacentral:rRNA from 1 species